GUUUACAAAGGAAGAAGACGAUGCCAUUAGGAUACCAGUUUUGGAACGCUAUGAACUGGAAGGUCAUCCGUACUUCUCCUCAGCAAGGUUAUGGGACGAUGGUGUGAUCGAUCCACUAGACACGCGGACAGUACUGGGCUUAAGUCUUAGUGCAGUUUUUAAUUCACCUAUUAAAGACACAAACUUUGGUGUUUUUAGAAUGUGAAUCAAUUCAAGAAAUAUAUUUCGUGAUAAUUUAAAAUAAAGGUGUACGAAAUUCUUAUCAA